CCUACGGGAGGCAGCAGUGAGGAAUAUUGGUCAAUGGCCGGAAGGCUGAACCAGCCAUGCCGCGUGCAGGUCAGUGCCCUUUGGGCGUUAAACUUCUUUUGUGCGGGAGCAAUACUGGUCACGUGUGGCCAGACGAUAGUACCGUACGAAUAAGCAUCGGCUAACUCCGUGCCAGCAGCCGCGGUAAUACGGGGGUUGCAAGCGUUAUCCGGAUUUAUUGGGUUUAAAGGGUGCGUAGGCUGGGAGGUAAGUCAGCGGUGAAAUGCCCCCGCUCAACGGGGUGAAGUGCCAUUGAUACUGCCUGGCUGGAAUGAGGAUGCCGUGGGAGGAAGGGGUGGUGUAGCGGUGAAAUGCAAAGAUAUAACACAGAACACCGAUUGCGAAGGCAGCUCACGAAUCCGCGAUUGACGCUGAUGCACGAAAGCGUGGGUAUCAAACAGGAUUAGAUACCCGAGUAGUC
rnacentral:rRNA from 1 species